GCCUUAUUGGGGGGUUGAAUUUUAACAUAGGAAUAUAUAGAGUAUGUCUUUAAAAAUCUUCUUCUCGGAAGCUAAUUAGCUAGGAAAGCUGAAACUUGUGUGGAAGUGUAGAUUCAAAGUUAUUUGAAGGAAAGAAUUGGAAUUGUUUGAUAUACACCCUUUCCAAAACUGUAAAAAUUAUUACGUUUAAUUUUAUUAUAGGAGUUUUGCAAUAUAGACCCAUUUUGAUGGAAAACGAAUCUGACUUUAAAUCAUGAGAUUUUAAUGGGAGAGAAACAAUUUGAUGAGCUUUUAUUCAAGAGGUCCCUCAUUGCUGAACAAAAUUAGGGCCGUAGGCCCGGAGCUAUGAAGCCGAAUGCUAACGUUACUGCCUUAAUUGAAAAUGCAUUUGUGUACUAUACCAAAUUGAUGUAUCGAUAAUGCAUGAGUUGUAACACUGAAUUUCUCUCAUUUGUGCACUUAGGAGGAUUUUCAUUUGUUUGCUGCCUUUGUCUUGGGAGGUGGAGGCACCAGGGCAAUGAGGUCAUUUUGUCCCUUUAUUAUGCUGACAGAGAGUCCCUAACCAUCUGAUCCAUCAUGAUAGGCAUUUUUCUUUAUGAUGCAGUACUUGCUGAGAGAGAGAGAGAGAGUCUCAUACUCGGAUGAGCACAGCGUAGAUAUAAAUCAAAAUCCCGGACUUGUGUUUCAUACACAAUGAUGUAUAAGUGGCUCAUCUUACAUCAAAUGGAAUGGAUCCAUGCCAGGAUUCACUUUUCCUUCCCAUGCUGGUUCCAGUCCAGUAAACUGUCACAGUCUGGGAAAUUCUGUCACUGGUGAUGCCGCAGAAAGAAAACACUAUGGAUGCACAUGAUGCUACUUCCUGAAUGGUGCUGAACCUGUUUGUCAACAUGUGGAACCCAUGUGUACUUGAGGGAGAAGUCUCCCUUGAUAAAGUUCAACAAUGGCGGAUAAACAAUGUGGGAUGCUGUCUUGUCAACAACAGUGAAAUUUGACACCUGUAUACCCGUAUUUCUACCAAUUGUCUCAGUCUUCUUUGUUGUGUACAUCAGACAGUUUUUGUCUGAGCAAUUACGUGGCCUUAAAAGGUCUUCUUCUGAGAUUUCCACGAGUUUGAUGUAUAUUCGCUGCGUCGUUUUGACGUCAAAAUUUAAGGUAAAGUCGUUGUUAAAUUUCUAUUGUUCUCUAAAUUAUUUGUAAUACAACGGAGCCUCAGUUAUCCGGACACUUUCGUUCUCAAGUCCAAUCGUCCAGAUAAGUGAAGCGUCCGGAUAUCUGAAAUGUGUCUAUUGUUGUCUUGAAUGAUAAUGUAUUUGUAUGUACAAUGGCUCCCAGUGUUGAUACUAGUUUUUUUUGCCUUUCAUACCAUAUAGCAACACAUGCUAGAGUUGUCUGUUGAUAUGAACGUUUUUAUAGAUAUAAAGAACUCUGCUUUAUUUUAUUAUUUUGUCAUGAAAUAUUAACCGGACAUUAAUGAUAACCGAAUCUAGCUAAAUUAUUUGUGUCCAAGUGUGAUAUGUGUAAGAUACACUGUUGUUCGCAAUUUUCCAAAUUUUGAAAGUGAUUUGGGAAGUCAGUGUGUUUAUACAAGCUACUCAUGAGGGUCUUGCACGUAAAAAAGGUGUGAAACUUAAUUGACAGGGGAAAUCUUUUGUACUGAGUAUGGUAUCAUCAAAUUUUACUGUCCAGUUAAAUGAAGCAAGAUUAGUAGUAAAACGAUGUUUUGUGGUAAAAACAGACCGUCCAGAUCCGGAACGCGGAAUUCUGGAUAAAUGAGACAAAAUAACAUAUAAAAAAUCUGUUCCCAAAUAAAAUCGUCCGUAAACUGAAGCGUCCGGUUAUCUGGCAUCCGGAUAUCUGAGGCCCCACUGUAUAUCUGUAUUUCAACCCAAACAUAUUAAGUGAAACGAUCAAAAAAUAGUUGCAGAAAAUAGCAAAAUGAACUUAUUUAAUUUGACUUCUUUUAUCAUUAGCUGUAAGUCUGCGGAAACUUAGAAAGAAGAUGUUCAGGUUUUUUUAAUCUCCAAGUUCAUACUGCGCCGGAUACCCCGACCACUGACUUGUUUAACUAAACAAACUAUUAAAUAUUCUUUUAAUAUUACUUGUUGAGGGUUCUUCAAUGUUUAUGCCAAUUUUCACCAAAAUUCAUCAUUUAGAAGGGGAAAUAUUCCAGCUGUCUCAAUAAUUUCCGAAAAACCCUUGUACAUACACCCCCUACCCACCUACCCAUGAUGAUCUUCCCCCCCUUUCCACACUUUGCUACUUCCUGUUUAAUUUUGGAUCUGUUGGGGAUUUACGUUAAGUGUCUUUAGACUUUUUAUUGUAGAGCUGAUAUCUUUUAGAUCUGUAGAAUUUAUAUUUUAAUUAUAGUUUUGUUUCAUUUAAAGUAAUUUUGCCCAAUUUUCUGUUGUUUUAGAUGAUGGACCACUCUACUUCUUUUGACAACAGGUGCCCCUACAGAUUCACAAAGUUCCAAUGUUGAAUGUCCAUGACCCUGGUUGAUCCGCGACAGGAAAAGGAAUAAAGUUGGCAGGAAUUUCCGCACUGUCUUUGGUAGCAGCUGAUGAUGGAACUGACAGCAGUUGACAUGGCCUGUUUCUUCAAAGAUGCACCAGAAGCAGCAGCACUAUCUCCAUCACUGGUGAAAUGGGAAAUGACAAGUGGACGGUCAUCACUUUGCAGCUCAACGAUGCAUUCCGCAGCCCAUCUCUUUUCAUCUUCUAUGGUGUUCUCAGGAGGAAUGGUUGCAAUGCAGUCUUCAUGUCCUAGGCAUGUAACUUCCUUUUCCUUGGUUCUAAAAUAGGUGCCUUUCUUGCAUAGUUUAUUGCCACAAAACACAGCCACACCAUUCUUCUUGGUAACAUUUUCACUUAAGGUCAGACGACACGUUCCUCAAUUUUAGAUAACUUUUUCCAGGAAAUUGUUAAUGGUUUACUACUACUUUGACAAGCCUUCUUGCAAAAAAUUAGGGUACCUUCCCAAGCAUUUCUUCAAAAUACUAGAGUAUGCAAUUUCCUAUAUAAUCUUCUUGAAAAUACACUUGAAUUGCUGAUAUAAAAAUAAAUUCAUCUACACCACAGCGAUAUUCACUAUAUUAGAACUACAUCUCUGCCGGGGCGGGGCUUUGAACUCACGACCUCUAUAACCUAUAAACGCUUCUGACAGUGAGCUGCCACGGUUCUAACCACUCGACCAUCUAGACAUAUAACCACAUCUAAGUAAAUUGUGAUCAUUUUUAAAGUAAUUAUAAAAUUAAUAUUUUUUAUUGGAACUCUUUAUAACGAGGAGAUACAAAAAAGAUUCUCGAGGAACAUGUUGUCUGACCUUAAAGUGUAUGUCACUUGUGUGGCAGUUUCCCGAUCGCACUGAAGGUGGCAUUGUAAAACGAGGCAUCUUCAUCCGCUCUUAUAGGUGUAUUGGCAAAUCCACAUAUCUCAUUAAGCUCUUAAAUGUCCUGAUUUAUUUUCUUUAUGCUGUUUUUGUUCAAAUCAGUGAUGAUUUGGCCUACUGUGUUGCAGGUCUGAUGAAUGUUGGUGGCUGAUGCUGGGUCAAUGUUUGUGCCUAGAAGUAUACCAUGCAUAUCCUUUGUUGUAAGGCUGGUAGCCAAGUGGCCAACAGCCAUGGCAACAUUAAGCUGUGCGGCUCUCCGUCCCUUUCCUGAUUGACUGACUUCCUCGUAAAGCUUUUCAUGGUGACUGGUGUAAUGGCACUUCUUACAUCAAAUGGAAAGGAUCCAUGCCAGACAUUGCUUUUCCUCCCCAUGCUGGUUCCAGUCCAUUGAUUCGUCACAGUUCAGGAAUUUCUACACCAAGACUUGAAGAGAAACAUUGUAAUAAGAAAUGAAUGGGUAGGCAUUAUGUGAAUGGCUGAAUUCAGGUAUGUAACAAUUCUCAUUUCGUUCUAAAAAUAUUAGUUUUUAGCUCACCUGAGCUGAAAGCUCAAGUGAGAUUUUCUGCUUAAAAUUUGU